AUUAACGGUCUUACUAAUAAAAAAUCACUAUACAUGCGUUAUGACAAGGUGAUAGUAAUUCAGUGAAUAGAGCUUGUACAGGGCAUAAACACCUCUUUGACCAAUAAUCGAUGUGUAUUGGUUGAAUAACAAAACGACCCUUAUUUAUUGUUACCCUGGCAACCCGCCGUGUUUGAUUGACGUUUGAUUUAAUAAUUUUGAUACGACUCAUAAUUCUAAUGUAAGUUGUAUUUAUUUUAUCAACCAAAGCAAUUAUAUACACAUUUACUCAAUAUACUAAUAACAUUUUAUUAUUUGCAGCUAAUAGAAACUCCAAAACCUCAGACAAAGAGGACUAGAAUUUUACAUAAAAAGCCGCGUUCUGCAGUACAAAAGUUAGAAGAGGCAUCUCAAAUAGUGGAAAGUGCCAAACUCCGCAACACGGUAGUGUUCCAGUGUUUCCAGGAAGAGCACGAAACAAAACAAAGGCAGAUGGCUGAAACACAUGAGCUCAAACAGAAGCGACUCGCCGAAGCUCACGAAAGGGCUAGACAGAAGCAUCUUCUAAGGCUCAAAUUGUUACAGCAGCAAUUAAAUAAAUAAUUAUAUACUUAUAAAAAAAAUAAAACCCCCGUUUUAAAUGAAA